AUUUAUAUUAUCAUCUACAAUCAAAUUUGAUUAUUUUUCCUUCGGCUCCUUAUACUCUAGCCACGGCACUGAAUAGAGCAUAACAAAAGAAUAUGUUUUAUUAAUAAAUAAUCAAAGAAAAAAGAGCAUAAUUUUUCAUGACGCUAGUUUACCAGUAACAUUUUUUUUGGUAAAAAUGUUAAGUAACAGUAACAGUUUAACAGUAACAUGAACAAACAGAACCAGUAGGAACAGCUUGACAGCCGCCGCCUUUGUUUAGGCUACAACCACGGAUGCACAGCUUCUCACAUCUAUCAUUCUGUUGUUUUGUAUCACAAGCUCCUAA
rnacentral:lncRNA from 1 species